UGGCUAUGAGGAUAACAACAUUAGAAUGAUUCUGUGUGUGAUUUCUAUAAUACGCUAUUCUGAGCCCCCU